rnacentral:rRNA from 1 species
UACGAAGGGGGCUAGCGUUGUUCGGAAUUACUGGGCGUAAAGCGCACGUAGGCGGAUAUUUAAGUCAGGGGUGAAAUCCCAGAGCUCAACUCUGGAACUGCCUUUGAUACUGGGUAUCUUGAGUAUGGAAGAGGUAAGUGGAAUUGCGAGUGUAGAGGUGAAAUUCGUAGAUAUUCGCAGGAACACCAGUGGCGAAGGCGGCUUACUGGCCCAUUACUGACGCUGAGGCACGAAAGCGAUGGG